GCUGGGCAUGGUGGCUCAUGCCUGUGAUCCCAGCACUUUGGGAGGCCAAGGUGGGUGGAUCACUUGAGGUGAGGAGCUCGAAACCAGCCUGGGCAACAUGGUGAAACCCCAUCUCCACUAAAACUACAAAAAUUAGCUGGGAUUAUAGGCACCCGCAACAAUGCCCAGCUAAUUUUUGUAGUUUUAGUGGAGAUGGGGUUUCACCAUGUUGCCCAGGCUGGUUUCGAGCUCCUCACCUCAAGUGAUCCACCCACCUUCU
rnacentral:SRP_RNA from 1 species